GACGAACGCUGGCGGCGUGCUUAACACAUGCAAGUCGAACGGAAAGGCCCUGCUUUUGUGGGGUGCUCGAGUGGCGAACGGGUGAGUAACACGUGAGUAACCUGCCCUUGACUUUGGGAUAACUUCAGGAAACUGGGGCUAAUACCGGAUAGGAGCUCCUGCUGCAUGGUGGGGGUUGGAAAGUUUCGGCGGUUGGGGAUGGACUCGCGGCUUAUCAGCUUGUUGGUGGGGUAGUGGCUUACCAAGGCUUUGACGGGUAGCCGGCCUGAGAGGGUGACCGGCCACAUUGGGACUGAGAUACGGCCCAGACCCCUACGGGAGGCAGCAGUGGGGAGUAUUACACAAUGGGCGGAGGCCUGAUGCAGCAACGCCGCGUGCGGGAUGACGGGCUUCGGGUUGUAAACCGCUUUCGCCUGUGACGAAGCGUGAGUGACGGUAAUGGGUAAAGAAGCACCGGCUAACUACGUG
rnacentral:rRNA from 1 species